rfam:Pragia fontium strain 24613, complete genome.
CGCGGGGUGGAGCAGCCCGGUAGCUCGUCGGGCUCAUAACCCGAAGGUCGUCAGUUCAAAUCUGGCCCCCGCAA